rnacentral:tRNA from 1 species
GCAAUGGUGGUUCAGUGGUAGAGUUCUUAUCUUCCAUGCCGGAGACCCAGAUUCAAUUCCUGGCCAAUGCA